AUCCAGCCGAUGAGUCUCAAAAAGGACGAAACGCGCGUCCUGGAU
rnacentral:hammerhead_ribozyme from 1 species